rnacentral:rRNA from 1 species
AUUGAACGCUGGCGGCAGGCUUAACACAUGCAAGUCGAGCGAGCGGCGGACGGGUGAGUAAUGUCUGGGAAACUGCCUGAUGGAGGGGGAUAACUACUGGAAACGGUAGCUAAUACCGCAUACCAUCAGAUGUGCCCAGAUGGGAUUAGCUAGUAGUUGGGGUAAUUGCUCACCUAGGCGACGAUCCCUAGCUGGUCUGAGAGGAUGACCAGCGACAAGGGAAAUGAGAAACGGUCCAGACUGCGACGGGAGGCAGCAGUGGGGAAUAUUGCACAAUGGGAGCAAGCCUGAUGCAGCAAUGGCGCGUGUGUGAAGAAGGCCUUCGGGUUGGAAAGCACUUUCAGCGAGGAGGCGUUACUCGAAGAAGAAGCACCGGCUAACUCCGUGCCAGGAGCCGCGGUAAUAC